rnacentral:rRNA from 1 species
ACGGGGGAUGCAAGCGUUAUCCGGAUUUAUUGGGUUUAAAGGGUGCGUAGGCGGUUUGAUAAGUCAGCGGUGAAAUAUUUCAGCUUAACUGAAAGGGUGCCGUUGAUACUGUCAGGCUUGAAUAUGGUUGCUGUGGGUGGAAUGUGUGGUGUAGCGGCUAAAAGCUUAAUUAUCGCACAGAAUAUCGAUUGCGGAGGCAGUUCACAAAGCCUUUAUUGCCGCUGAUGCACGAGAGUGUGUGGAUGGAACAG